rnacentral:lncRNA from 1 species
ACUUGCUAAUUCCUUUUCUUUUCUUAGCACUAGCAAAAAGUUAGUCAACAGUACUGUAACUUACGAUUUGAAUAGAUUGUUUAUCUGUAUAGCUUUAGUUAGUAUACUUAUAUAAUACAGUUAUAACAAAUAUAAAUUAAUUAAAAUUAAGAAUUAGCUUAAAUUUUGAAGUCAACGUAGUAUUAUUGACUACGACUCAAAUCAAACAAAUUGAAUAUUAAAUAGCAAAUUAAAAUCUUUUAAGAGAUCAGAUACAAAAUUCAAAAUAGUACACUAUACAUUUUUAUCUAUUUUUAAAUAUAAAAUAUUUAAUUAUAAUAUUUAUUUUAUAUAAAAUAAAUAUAAUAA